rnacentral:rRNA from 1 species
GACGAACGCUGGCGGCGUGCUUAACACAUGCAAGUCGAACGGAAAGGCCCUGCUUUUGUGGGGUGCUCGAGUGGCGAACGGGUGAGUAACACGUGAGUAACCUGCCCUUGACUUUGGGAUAACUUCAGGAAACUGGGGCUAAUACCGGAUAGGAGCUCCUGCUGCAUGGUGGGGGUUGGAAAGUUUCGGCGGUUGGGGAUGGACUCGCGGCUUAUCAGCUUGUUGGUGGGGUAGUGGCUUACCAAGGCUUUGACGGGUAGCCGGCCUGAGAGGGUGACCGGCCACAUUGGGACUGAGAUACGGCCCAGACUGCUACGGGAGGCAGCAGUGGGGAAUAUUGCACAAUGGGCGGAAGCCGGAUGCAGCAACGCCGCGUGCGGGAUGACGGCCUUCGGGUUGUAAACCGCUUUCGCCUGUGACGAAGCGUGAGUGACGGUAAUGGGUAAAGAAGCACCGGCUAACUACGUG